GAGCCAAACCGGGAUCGAACCCCGGACCUCUCGUGCUCGGGAAGCGAGAAACAUAAUCUAGACCAUUCGACU